CUACGGGAGGCAGCAGUGGGGAAUAUUGGACAAUGGGCGCAAGCCUGAUCCAGCCAUGCCGCGUGAGUGAUGAAGGCCCUAGGGUUGUAAAGCUCUUUCACCGGUGAAGAUAAUGACGGUAACCGGAGAAGAAGCCCCGGCUAACUUCGUGCCAGCAGCCGCGGUAAUACGAAGGGGGCUAGCGUUGUUCGGAAUUACUGGGCGUAAAGCGCACGUAGGCGGACAUUUAAGUCAGGGGUGAAAUCCCGGGGCUCAACCCCGGAACUGCCUUUGAUACUGGAUGUCUCGAGUCCGGAAGAGGUGAGUGGAAUUCCCAGUGUAGAGGUGAAAUUCGUAGAUAUUGGGAAGAACACCAGUGGCGAAGGCGGCUCACUGGGCUGACCUUGACGCUGAGGCGCGAAAGCGUGGGGAGCAAACAGGAUUAGAAACCCGUGUAGUCC
rnacentral:rRNA from 1 species